rnacentral:rRNA from 1 species
GAUGAACGCUGGCGGCGUGCCUAAUACAUGCAAGUCGAGCGAACAGAUGAGGAGCUUGCUCCUCUGACGUUAGCGGCGGACGGGUGAGUAACACGUGGAUAACCUACCUAUAAGACUGGGAUAACUUCGGGAAACCGGAGCUAAUACCGGAUAAUAUAUUGAACCGCAUGGUUCAAUAGUGAAAGACGGUUUUGCUGUCACUUAUAGAUAGAUCCGCGCCGCAUUAGCUAGUUGGUAAGGUAACGGCUUACCAAGGCAACGAUGCGUAGCCGACCUGAGAGGGUGAUCGGCCACACUGGAACUGAGACACGGUCCAGACUCCUACGGGAGGCAGCAGUAGGGAAUCUUCCGCAAUGGGCGAAAGCUUGACGGAGCAACGCCGCGUGAGUGAUGAAGGUCUUCGGAUCGUAAAACUCUGUUAUUAGGGAAGAACAAAUGUGUAAGUAACUAUGCACGUCUUGACGGUACCUAAUCAGAAAGCCACGGCUAACUACGUG